AUUAGGUAGUUGGCGGGGUAACGGCCCACCAAGCCUGCGAUGGGUAGCUGGUCUGAGAGGAUGGCCAGCCACACUGGAACUGAGACACGGUCCAGACUCCUACGGGAGGCAGCAGUGAGGAAUAUUGCGCAAUGGCCGAAAGGCUGACGCAGCGACGCCGCGUGAGGGAUGAAGUCCGUUAGGAUGUAAACCUCUUUUGCAGGGGAUGAAGCUGCCGCUACAGGCGGCAGUCGACCGUACCCUGCGAAUAAGGGUCGGCUAACUACGUGCCAGCAGCCGCGGUAAUACGUAGGACCCGAGCGUUGUCCGGAUUUACUGGGUGUGUAAAGGGCGUGUAGGUGGGCGCUUAAGUCGAUGGUGAAAUCCUGCGGCUCAACCGUAGAAUUGCCGUCGAUACUGGGCGUCUUGAGUACGGCAGAGGGAGAUGGAAUUCAUGGUGUAGCGGUGAAAUGUGUAGAUAUCAUGAAGAACACCGGUAGCGAAGGCGGUCUCCUGGUCCGUUACUGACACUGAGGCGCGAAAGCGUGGGGAGCAAACAGGAUUAGAUACCCUGGUAGUCCACGCCUUAAACGAUGGGUACUAGGUGCUGGGCCGCAAGGUUCAGUGCCAAAGCUAACGCAUUAAGUACCCCACCUGGGGAGUACGAUCGCAAGGUUGAAACUCAAAGGAAUUGACGGGGGCCCGCACAAGCAGUGGAGCAUGUGGUUCAAUUCGAUGCAACGCGAAGAACCUUACCCGGGUUUGAAAGGCCAGUGACAACCGAUGAAAGUCGGUCUUGUAGCAAUACACACUGGUACAGGUGCUCAUGGCUGUCGUCAGCUCGUGCCGUGAGGUGUUGGGUUAAGUCCCGCAACGAGCGCGACCCCUGCACUUAGUUGCCAUCAGGUCAAGCUGGGCACUCUAAGUGGACUGCCUACGCAAGUAGAGAGGAAGGCGGGGAUGACGUCAAGUCCUCAUGGCCCUUACACCCGGGGCCACACACGUGCUACAAUGGCCGCGACAAAGGGUUGCCAAACCGCGAGGUGGAGCCAAUCCCAAAAACGCGGUCUCAGUUCGGAUUGGAGUCUGCAACUCGACUCCAUGAAGCUGGAAUUGCUAGUAAUCGCGCAUCAGCACGGCGCGGUGAAUACGUUCCCGGGCCUUGUACACACCGCCCGUCAAGCCAUGGGAGCUGGGAGUACCCGAAACCGCUACGCCAACCCGCAAGGGAGGCAGGCGUCUAAGGUAAGACCAGUGACUG
rnacentral:rRNA from 1 species